rnacentral:rRNA from 1 species
GACGAACGCUGGCGGCGUGCUUAACACAUGCAAGUCGAACGGACAGGCCAUGCUUUUGUGGGGUGCUCGAGUGCCGAACGGGUGAGUAACACGUGAGUAACCUGCCCUUGUAUUUGGGAUAACUUCAGGAAACUGGGGCUAAUAUAGGAUAGGAGCUCCUGCUGCACGGUGGGGGUUGGAAAGUUUCGGCGGUUGGGGCUGGACUCGCGGGUUAUCAGCUUGUUGGUGGGGUAGUGGCUUACCAAGGCUUUGACGGGUAGCCGGCCUGAGAGGUUGACCGGCGACAUGGGUACUGAGAGACGGCCCAGUCGGCUACGGGAGGCAGCAGGGGGGAAUAUUGCACAAUGGGCCGAAGCCUGAUGCAGCAACGCCGCGUGCGUGAUGACGGCCUACUGGUUGUAAACCGCUUUCGCCGGUGACGAAGCGGGAGUGACGGUAAUGGGUAAAGAAGCACCGGCUAACUACGUG